rnacentral:SRP_RNA from 1 species
GGUCGGGCACUGUGCUACGGGUCGCCGCCCAACCCCGUCAGGACCGGAAGGUAGCAGCGGUAAGCGAACGACUCGGGAGCCGCAGGACGCUUGGUCUCG